rnacentral:rRNA from 1 species
UGCUCUCUGGGUGACGAGCGGCGGACGGGUGAGUAAUGUCUGGGAAACUGCCUGAUGGAGGGGGAUAACUACUGGAAACGGUAGCUAAUACCGCAUGACCUCGCAAGAGCAAAGUGGGGGACCUUCGGGCCUCACGCCAUCGGAUGUGCCCAGAUGGGAUUAGCUAGUAGGUGGGGUAAUGGCUCACCUAGGCGACGAUCCCUAGCUGGUCUGAGAGGAUGACCAGCCACACUGGAACUGAGACACGGUCCAGACUCCUACGGGAGGCAGCAGUGGGGAAUAUUGCACAAUGGGCGCAAGCCUGAUGCAGCCAUGCCGCGUGUGUGAAGAAGGCCUUAGGGUUGUAAAGCACUUUCAGCGAGGAGGAAGGCGCUGUAGUUAAUAGCUGCAGCGAUUGACGUUACUCGCAGAAGAAGCACCGGCUAACUCCGUGCCAGCAGCCGCGGUAAUACGGAGGGUGCAAGCGUUAAUCGGAAUUACUGGGCGUAAAGCGCACGCAGGCGGUUUGUUAAGUCAGAUGUGAAAUCCCCGAGCUUAACUUGGGAACUGCAUUUGAAACUGGCAAGCUAGAGUCUUGUAGAGGGGGGUAGAAUUCCAGGUGUAGCGGUGAAAUGCGUAGAGAUCUGGAGGAAUACCGGUGGCGAAGGCGGCCCCCUGGACAAAGACUGACGCUCAGGUGCGAAAGCGUGGGGAGCAAAC